ACACACAACACAGCCAAGCUAAUAAAGUGAUGAACUUUACCAUGAAAAAGCCUGUUAAUUGAAAUGCAGGGUUUUUCAUGGAGUUCGCCAAAGAAAAUAGCUCUUUCAUCGUGAACUAA
rnacentral:precursor_RNA from 10 species